UAUCUCUGUAGAGUCUGCAUAUCAAUAAGCGGAGGAAAAGAAACUAACAAGGAUUCCCCUAGUAACGGCGAGUGAAGCGGGAAGAGCUCAAAUUUGAAAUCUUCAAGGUUUGACCUUGACGAAUUGUAGUUUAAAGAAGUGUUUUCGGUUAGAGGAGUAGUAAAAGUUCUUUGGAAUAGGACAUCAUAGAGGGUGAGAAUCCCGUAUUUGACUAUUCUUUCUAGCUUUGUGAUACACUUUCAAAGAGUCGGAUUGUUUGGGAAUGCAGUCCAAAAUGGGUGGUAAAUUUCAUCUAAAGCUAAAUAUUGGCGAGAGACCGAUAGCGAACAAGUACCGUGAGGGAAAGAUGAAAAGAACUUUGAAAAGAGAGUUAAACAGUACGUGAAAUUGUCAAAAGGGAAGCGUUUGACACCAGUGUUGUUUUUCCGAAAAUCAAUUAAAAAUUGAUUCAUGCCAGGUUGUAUUGACCUUAUCAGCUUGCAAUUUGGUUUUGGGUCUCUUUUUGAUGCACUUUCGGUUAACAAGUCAACAUCAAUUUCCUUUGCUGUAAAAAGGUAAGAGGAAGGUGGCUUCAAUUUCGGUUGAAGUGUUUAUAGCCUUUUAUCUCUGCAGUCGGGGAGAUUGAGGUCUGCAGCGUAGAUCCUUCGGGGCUAGAUACAUUUAUGCUAAGUUAUAGCUUUUCAUAGACAACUUGUUGACUAUGUUUAGUCAUGUAGCUUACUCGUAAGUGCUAUUUUACCUACGCUUAGGAUGUUGAGCGCAUGUCUCUCUCU
rnacentral:rRNA from 1 species